AUUGAACGCUGGCGGCAGGCUUAACACAUGCAAGUCGAACCAGUGGCUGACGGGCGAGUAAUGCUUGGCAACCUAGCUUACGGAGGGGGAUAAUUACGGGAAACUGUAGCUAAUACUGCGUACCAUAGCAUGAGCCCAAGCGGGAUUAGGUAGUUGGUGAGGUAAAGGCUCACCAAGCCGACGAUCUCUAGCUGGUCUGAGAGGAUGACCAGCCACGUUGGUAGUGAGACACGGCCAGGAGUCCUGCGGGGGGCAGCGGUGGGGAAUAUUGCGGAAUUGGGGCAACCUGACGCAGCCAUGCCGCGUGAAUGAAGAAGGCCUUCGGGUUGUAAAGGUCUUUCGGUAGCGAGGCGUUAACGACAGAAGAAGCGCGGGCUAAAUCGGGGCCAGCAGCCGCGGUAAUAC
rnacentral:rRNA from 1 species